AACCUAUUAGCUCAAAUGGUAGAGCACUAUGCAUAUAUGCAUAGUAGAUGUAGGUUCGAUUCCUACAUAGGUUG
rnacentral:tRNA from 1 species